CCUAUCACUGUCAUUAAGCACAAGUACCCCUUCUUGAAUCAUUCUUUCUAUUUCCCUUUUCAAAUCCCGACAAUUCUCCAUAUUGUUCCCCAGAGCAUUGGAGUGGUAUUCACACCUUUUAGAUGAGUCAAAGCUUCUCGCACGUCGGUCCACCUGAUUUGGAGGAAUAGGUGCAAUCAUGUCAUGUUGUUUUAACUUCUCAAAUAAGCUUACAUAAGACUCUCCUAUUGGUGUAAAACUAUCUUUGAGCUUUUGUUCCCUUCUAUACCCCUGGCUUGGAUGUGGGUUAUAAGGUACUUGAAAAUUUUGUGGAGGCGGGUGGAGAUUUUGUGAUACUCGUGCUCGCUUUCUUGGGUGGUUUGAUAGGUGGGCAACAUACUGGGAAGGAUCAACAAAUUAUGGGGGGGGGGGUUCGGAGGUGGAUAGUACAUAGGUGGCAUAUGUGGAGUUUGGGGACGGUCACGAGGAUGGUAUUGAGGCUGAAAGAAUUUACCAAGAACGACCACCAGGCCCUGUCGUUGGCAGAGGGAGUGACCUAGUGUUUUGAGUGGUAUGGAUCAACAAAGUAUGGGGGGUUCGGAGGUGGAUAGUAAUGCGAAGGGGGGUCAUAUAAAACAUGAUGAUGCUGCACAUACAUUCGAGAUGUUCUCUUUGGACAUCUUCUCGACCCUGAUAUCAUCAUGAUUUCUUCAUCCCUCUUAUUCGUGUUACCAGAUUCAAUUUCGACAGCCUGAGCUGCAGCUUUGAGAGCUGUUUGACUUAUACUUCUGCCUAUCUUAAGACUGUUCUCUACCAUUUAUCCCAUUUUGAUUGCUUCCGGAAAGGAUUUACCCACUGCAGACGCCAUGUAUUGAAAAUAAUCUGGCUUUUGAGCCUGUAGAAAGACAGUGAUUAACUCGUGGUCAUCCAUGGAUGGCUUAGCUCUAGCUGCCUGCUCUCUCCAUUUGGUGGCAUAUUCCCUGAAACUUUCAGUUGGUUUCUUUUUCAGGUUAGAAAGGGAAAUGCGAUCUGGGGAUACGUUGAUGUUAUACUGAAACAAUUUGACAAAGGCCCGUGCCAUGUCAUCCCGGACGUACCAGCAAGAUGUGUCUUGAUCCAAAACCAUUCAGAUGCUACUCCCGAGAGGCUUUCCCCAAAAUAAGCUAUAAGAAAUUGUUCAUUUUCUCCCACACCUCUCAAUUGGUUGCAAUACCUUUUCAGGUGGUCUAUGGGGUCUCCAUAUCCAUUGUACUUUUAAAAUUUGGGAACCUUGAAACCAGGCGGCAACUGGACAUCGGGGAAUAUGCAUAGAUCUCUGAAGGCAACACUCUUUUGACCUGCCAUUGCUUGCGUGUUUUUCGGCCAUUGUUCCAAUCUUUUCACUCCUUGGGCUAUUUCUCAUGUACCCUCUUUCGGGCAAGCUUCUCGAUGUUUGUAGGAAGAUCAAAUGAGUACGAGUGGUACUCAGGAGCGUGGCACUGUUCUUGCUGUGUAGCACAUUGUGACUCAUGACGGGGAUCUCCUUGACCAUUGGCCCAUUCUUGAUGUAUUUCAGUCGUUUUCUGUUUCGGUGUUAUAUUUUCCUUAAACACCGUAGACUCUAGUUGAAC
rnacentral:lncRNA from 1 species